rnacentral:tRNA from 1 species
CUUUUGUUAGUACAGUGUUGAGUAUCCUUGCCUGUCACUCAGGAGACUGGGGUUUGAUUCCCCAACGGAGAG